GGAAGGAUCAUUAAACUACGUCCCAUUUCAACCAAACCGUGAACUUAUUUUGUCGUGCGAGAGGCAAGCCGUUAAGGCUGAGAAUAACCAUGACAGUAGGGGAGCGUACCGAUGCAGACCGCGACCGCACAGCUAGUGUUGCGUGUGCGGCGUGGUUUGCGCGCUCUCUGGUUGCUCAGUCGAUGGUGGGGUUGUUUCAACCCUGCGGGUUUGUGCUCGUGCGGUUAUUUUUAACCUAUUGUCUUAUUAACCCUAUUAACUAGUGCUUUGUACCUAUUGUACGUGCUGUUGUCGAUGUCUUUAUGGCAUCCAACAAUUAAAUCUGUACAACUCUUAGCAAUGGAUAUCUCGGCUCUCAUAUCGAUGAAGAACGCAGCGAACUGCGAUACGUAGUGCGAAUUGCAGAAUUCAGUGAAUCAUCGAAUCUUUGAACGCAACUGGCGCUUUCGGGAUAGGCCCGAAAGCAUGCUUCUUUCAGUGUCGUUUCUCCAACCCUCUCGACUGCGUUUCGGCGUAUGUCGAGGACUAUGAGUGUCUUGCUUGCUUUUGCGAGCCAAGUCGCUUGAAAUAAUGCAAGCUGGUUGGAACCAAACGAACUGCUCUUGAUUGCAGUGUGACGCGUACCGAAUUGCCUUUUCUCGGGAGAGCGGCCUUUUGGGCUUACUCGAACUUGGAGGCGUGGCGGCGUGUCUUGUGUGCUUUGCACGUAAAGAGAAUUGGUUCCGUCCGUAUGUCCCUAGUAGUUGCCAACUACUCAACAUACGAGCGCUGUGGUAUGGUCUCACCUUUGCGUGGACUUUUUGCCGGCGAGCGUAUGGAGUAGGGUAGUGAGGGGGAAAAUGGGCGGGUCACAAAGUGCAGAGUGCGUGAGGCUCGUUUAGCAACACGUUUCUAUAAUAGUUGGGUCUGUCAACAAUUGUGCUGUUUUUCAAUGUGUGAUGACGGUGUGCGUUUGCAAUGUAAUCGUUUAUGGGAGCGGUUUGAUUGGUUUCAUACUGGUGACAAUCGCCAGGCGUGUGGGGACGUUGAGCUUCCGGGCUUGCGUUUCGUGACGCUUAGCAACUUUUUUUCGGACUUGACCUGAAAUGAAGUAGGAUUACCCGCCGAAUUUAAGCAUAUUAUUAAGCGGAGGAGAAGAAACUAACCAGGAUUCCCCUAGUAACGGCGAGUGAAGCGGGAAGAGCUCAACCCUAAAAUCUGUGCGUCUAGCGGCGCACCGAGUUGUGGGCUUGCGACGUCUACUCAGCGUGUGACCCGGGUAUAGAUCCUUUGAAACAGGGUAUCAUAGAGGGUGAGAAUCCCGUCUGUGACCUGGAGUUCGCCGCGUACGAGUGACGUUCAUCGAGUCGAAUAGCUUGGGAAUGCUGUUCUAAUUAGGUGGUAAAUUUCAUCUAAAGCUAAAUACUGAUGAGAGACCGAUAGCGAACAAGUACCGCGAGGGAAAGAUGAAAAGAACUUUGAAAAGAGAGUUAAAAAGUGCUUGAAAUUGCUAAGAGGGAAGCAAUGGACACCAGUGUCUGCGUCAUGCCUACGUAGGCUGUUUGUUUGCAGCUGCGCUCUGUUUGUGGCGACCGCAAGGCGUCAUGGAUGUGUGCGGUUGUGAAUGGGCGGUACCGGUGGGUGUGAUGUGCGUCAAGAUCAAUUAUGACUGCAGGGGAAAUCUAGUGGCAAGGUGGCCAGUGAACGGUUUCGGCCGGGCGCUGGAGCUUACAGGCCAUUAGAAUAUACUGUGGUUCCGAUUGAGGGGUGACACCAUCUUUAAAGUUGCGCCCGCAAGGGUUGGCGUGUCCGUUCUUCUGUGCGUUGUUAUGUGGUAGGUAGAACAAAGUUCUGCCUGCUCAUAGCAGCGUAUAGUGAGGGUGGGUGCAUGACUUGCAACUUCGAGAUCUUGGCGAAAUGGUUUUCAUUGACCCGUCUUGAAACACGGACCAAGGAGUCUAACAUAUAUGCGAGUAUUUGGGUGUAAAACCCUGAUGCGGAAUGAAAGUGAAGGCAGUCCUCGUGACAGCCGAGAUAGGAAUCGUCGCAGUAGCGGCGAGGCACUAUCGACCGAUCGAUCAUUUAUGAGAGAUUUGAGUUAGAGCAUAUCUGUUGGGACCCGAAAGAUGGUGAACUAUGCCUGAGCAGGGCGAGGCCGGGGGAAACUCUGGUGGAGGCUCGUAGCGAUACUGACGUGCAAAUCGUUCGUCGGACUUGGGUAUAGGGGCGAAAGACUAAUCGAACCAUUUAGUAGCUGGUUCCCUC
rnacentral:misc_RNA from 1 species